rnacentral:tRNA from 1 species
AACGGAAUGGCUGAGAUUAUAGGCAAUAGAUUGUAAAUCUAUGGACGAAUUUAUUUUCUUUCGUUA